rnacentral:rRNA from 1 species
CGGGGGGGCAAGCGUUGUUCGGAAUUACUGGGCGUAAAGGGUCCGUAGGCGGUUUGAUAAGUCAGUGGUGAAAGCCCAUCGCUCAACGAUGGAACGGCCAUUGAUACUGUCAGACUUGAAUUACUGGGAAGUAACUAGAAUAUGUAGUGUAGCGGUGAAAUGCUUAGAUAUUACAUGGAAUACCAAUUGCGAAGGCAGGUUACUACCAGUGGAUUGACGCUGAUGGACGAAAGCGUGGGGAGCGAACAGGAUUAGAUACCCUGGUAGUCCACGCCGUAAACGAUGGAUACUAGCUGUUCGGAGCAAUCUGAGUGGCUAAGCGAAAGUGAUAAGUAUCCCACCUGGGGAGUACGUUCGCAAGAAUG